UACGGGGGGGGCAAGCGUUGUUCGGAAUUACUGGGCGUAAAGGGCUCGUAGGCGGCCAACUAAGUCGGACGUGAAAUCCCUCGGCUUAACCGGGGAACUGCGUCCGAUACUGGAUGGCUUGAGGUUGGGAGAGGGAUGCGGAAUUCCAGGUGUAGCGGUGAAAUGCGUAGAUAUCUGGAGGAACACCGGUGGCGAAGGCGGCAUCCUGGACCAAUUCUGACGCUGAGGAGCGAAAGCCAGGGGAGCAAACGGG
rnacentral:rRNA from 1 species